AUUAUGUCCCCAUGAAAUCUCUUCUCUAGGUAUAACUCUGUUUCCUGCCCUCAUUCCUCAAAUGCAUGGUUUUGAGAGCCUUGGUCUUUGGUUUGAGUAAAACAUUGGUUGGAACAAUACCCUUCCACUCAUUCCUUUGGAAUUUAAAACUUAUUGAUCUAUCUUCAGCUGCCGAUAGAACACAUCAGCACACCAGGUACCCCUUGAUGACCAGAAUCUCUCCGUACCAAAAAAGGACAAAGUGUCAAUUUUAGAAUACAAUGUAAUGGACACACAGCCCAUCUAAACCUCCGGGAAUUCUAAAUUCUACUUUUUCUAUCAUGUUUUACAGGUCAUCAGAGAGCAACAUGCCCAAAUCACUAUGGUUUGGCUCUGUGUUCCCACCUAAA
rnacentral:lncRNA from 1 species